rnacentral:rRNA from 1 species
GACGAACGCUGGCGGCGUGCUUAACACAUGCAAGUCGAACGGUAAGGCCCUUCGGGGUACACGAGUGGCGAACGGGUGAGUAACGCGUGAGUAACCUGCCCUUCACUCUGGGAUAACAGUUGGAAACGGCUGCUAAUACCGGAUAUUCAGCUCCUGUCGCGUGGUGGGGGCUGGCAAGUUUUGGUGGUGGAGGAUGGGCUCGCGUCCUAUCAGCUUGUUGGUGGGGUGAUGGCCUACCAAGGCGUCGACGGGUAGCCGGCCUGAGAGGGCGACCGGCCACAUUGGGACUGAGAUACGGCCCAAACUCCUACGGGAGGCAGCAGUGGGGAAUAUUGCACAAUGGGCGGAAGCCUGAUGCAGCAACGCCGCGUGCGGGAUGACGGCCUUCGGGUUGUAAACCGCUUUCAGCAGGGACGAAGCGCAAGUGACGGUACCUGCAGAAGAAGCACCGGCUAACUACGUG